rnacentral:rRNA from 1 species
UACAGAGGUGGCAAGCGUUGUUCGGAAUUACUGGGCGUAAAGGGCGCGUAGGCGGUCUUGUAAGUCUUGUGUGAAAUCCCUCGGCUUAACUGAGGAACUGCACGGGAUACUGCGAGACUUGAGUUUGGGAGAGGGACGCGGAAUUCCAGGUGUAGCGGUGAAAUGCGUAGAUAUCUGGAGGAACACCGGUGGCGAAGGCGGCGUCCUGGACCAACACUGACACUGAUGAGCGAAAGCCAGGGGAGCAAACGGG